UUUUUUAUUAUUGGUUUAUGAUUCCUGAAAGCCCUUCCGAAUUUGUGUAAUCUUUUAAGAACCUGGUUUGCCAGUGAGCCAAUAGAUAGCUAUGUCAGAAUAGUAAAUCAUCAAUGACAAAAGGAAAUGUUUUAAAGGCUCUCUUGAAAUCUAUGAUUUCUGAAUCAGUCCAGCCUCUUCUGUAUUCAAGCUGCCCAAUGUGAGCCAUGUUCUCUUUGUGCAGGUGCAUCCAGCCCCAAAGGUUCGGGGCAGCUGAUGCUAUCCCUUUGAUCUUUCAUAUUUCAAAUAAAGAUGAAUUGGCAACUUUCAUUUCUGAUGCAUAUUUAGGUUUGCCUAGGUUUGGUUUAUGCUGGUGUGAGUC
rnacentral:lncRNA from 1 species